GCCUUCGUGGUGUAGUGGUCAGCACGCUCGGCGCGUAUUCGAGAGGUCCGUGGUUCGAAUCCCGCCGAAGGCA
rnacentral:tRNA from 1 species